rnacentral:rRNA from 1 species
CCUACGGGAGGCAGCAGUGAGGAAUAUUGGUCAAUGGGCGGGAGCCUGAACCAGCCAAGCCGCGUGAGGGAAGAAGGUACAGCGUAUCGUAAACCUCUUUCGUCAGGGAACAAAGGCGGGGACUAGUCCCCGGAUGAGGGUACCCGAAGAAAAAGCAUCGGCUAACUCCGUGCCAGCAGCCGCGGUAAGCCGGGGGAUGCGAGCGUUGUCCGGAUUUAUUGGGGUUAAGGGGUGUGCAGGCGGCCUGAUAAGUCAGCGGUAAAAGCCCGGGGCUCAACCGCGGCGAGCCGUUGAAACUGGCGGGCUAGAGUUGGAGAGAGGUACGCGGAAUGCGCGGUGUAGCGGUGAAAUGCUUAGAUAUCGCGCAGAACCCCGAUUGCGAAGGCAGCGUACCGGCUCCACACUGACGCUGAGGCACGAAGGCGUGGGUAUCGAACGGGAUUAGAUACCCUUGUAGUC